UAGGGAAUCUUCGGCAAUGGACGAAAGUCUGACCGAGCAACGCCGUGUGAGGGAAGAAGGUUUUCGGAUCGUAAAACUCUGUUGUUAGAGAAGAACAAGGACGUGAGUAACUGAACGUCCCCUGACGGUAUCUAACCAGAAAGCGACGGCUAACUACGUGCCAGCAGCCGCGGUAAUACGUAGGUGGCAAGCGUUGUCCGGAUCUAUUGGGCGUCAAGCGAGCGCAGGCGGUUUCUUAAGUCUGAUGUGAAAGCCCCCGGCUCAACCGGGGAGAGUCAUUGGAAACUGUGAGACUUGAGUGGAGAAGAUGAGAGUGGAAUUCCAUGCGUAGCGGUGAAAUGCGUAGAUAUAUAGAGGAACACCAGUGGCGAAGGCGGCACUCUGGUCUGUAACUGACGCUGAGGCUCGAAAGCGUGGGAAGCAAACUGG
rnacentral:rRNA from 1 species